rnacentral:rRNA from 1 species
GAUGAACGCUAGCGGCAGGCUUAACACAUGCAAGUCGAGGGGUAUAGUUCUUCGGAAUUAGAGACCGGGCGCACGGGUGCGUAACGCGUAUGCAAUCUACCUUUCACAAAGGGAUAGCCCAGAGAAAUUUGGAUUAAUACCUUAUAGUAAUACGACUUGGCAUCAAGAUGUAUUUAAAGAUUUAUCGGUGAAAGAUGAGCAUGCGUCCAUUAGCUUGUUGGUAAGGUAACGGCUUACCAAGGCAACGAUGGGUAGGGGUCCUGAGAGGGAGAUCCCCCACACUGGUACUGAGACACGGACCAGACUCCUACGGGAGGCAGCAGUGAGGAAUAUUGGUCAAUGGGCGCAAGCCUGAACCAGCCAUGCCGCGUGCAGGAAGACGGUCCCUAUGGAUUGUAAACUGCUUUUAUACAGGAAGAAACCCUCCCACGUGUGGGAGCUUGACGGUACUGUAGGAUAAGGAUCGGCUAACUCCGUGCC